GCGGAAGUGGCGGAAUUGGUAGACGCACCAGAUUUAGGUUCUGGCGCCGCAAGGUGUGAGAGUUCAAGUCUCUACUUCAGCACCU
rnacentral:tRNA from 1 species